AUCAUGACCUAAGCGAAGUCGGACACUUAAUUGACUGAGCCACCCACAUGCCCCCAAAAUAUACUUUUAAUGCUAAUGUUAAUACCAAUUUCACCUGUUCCUUUUUACUUUUUUUUUUUUAACAUGCUACUAAACAGUUGAAAAUUAACAUGUGUGCCUCCCAUUGUAUCUCCACUGGGCAGUGCCCUCAUGGAUGUUUUCUGACAGUCUAUAUACUGGCUUCUUUCUGCAGUGGGAAGAAGGCUCUUUCUCUCUUCAUUUGAUGGCUGAUGCUGCUAUGCAAUUUUAUCGGAUUCUUAGCUUCGUCACAGAUGGGAAAGAAGAAAGACGGGGGUGUGUCAAGGGUGUGUGAAAGACAAGGGAGCUUAUUAGGAAGUCAUGAUGUCCUUCAAAGAAAGCAAGUGGGCGAAGAUCCCACAAUAACAAUGGUUACUAUUUGUACAGAGACUUAACAGCGACAACCAUGUCUCUGAAUGCAUUUUCGCGGGCAUUAUCUAAUUUAAUCCUUACAACAGUACUGUGAUAUUUGUAUUUUCAUUGCCUUCAUCUUACAGGUGACGGGAGGGAACCUGUCUCUCCAAACUCUGGUUUACAUUACCUGCGUGACCCUGCGGGAUUUGUGUUUUUGACCCCUGUUCCUUGGCCAAUUACAUGUGCUUUAUAUUGAAAAACUGUUUGGAACCAAGUGAGUAGGGUUCCAGUCUAUGUCUUAGUUCAAAGACCUUGAUGGGACUCUUUAAUCAAAUGCACUUAAAUUGUAACUUUAAUACUUAUUUAGACCUGAUUUGAUCCCUGCAAUAGAAGAUUCCAUAUAAGUUUUUCUCUUGUAAGCACACUCGAGUUGUUUAACACAACCUUAUUAUGCAUCUUUCUUAACUCAGAGUUAAUUUUAAGGUUUCCUUUUUGGGAAGACCAGAUGCUGCAAAUUAUUUGUGUUUUUUGUUUUUUUGUUUUUUUGUUUUUUUUGAAUUCUGGAGCUAUUCCAGAAUAUGAAGCUAAUCGAAGCAGAUAACUGUGAAUUCACUGGGAGAUGACCCAUUUCCAAUUCUGCAGGUCAGGGAGGGGUUUGAGGUCAUCUUUUCACUAUUUGCAUUAGGAGUAGAGUCACAGCUAGCACAAAUGCCGCGAUGUCAAUGGUUUUAUUUAACUAGAACAACAAACAUAUGUUUUCCAGAUAUUUUUAUUCAAGACCAAAAAAGCAAAAGAUCUUUUUUCCAACAAAAGAAUGAGAAUUUUAGAAAUGUUUAACUCACUUAUAAAUGUAAAAUACGUUUGUUUUUAAAAUAUGUACUAACCAGGCUGUUUUCAUCAGGUUGGCAUGUGAACCUUAAACUAUGUGAUUAUUUUACACGUGAUUACAUAUGUCCAUAUGAUUAUGCAGCUAA